UACGAUCACCGAAGUUAAGCAACGUCGAGCCUGGUCAGUACCUAGAUGGGUGACCGCUUGGGAAUACCAGG
rnacentral:rRNA from 1 species